AGCACCCAGGAUUUUUUUCUGAAGUGUAAACUUAUAAUGAAACAUGAUGAUAUCAAACAGAAACCCCAGAGAGAAUACAAAAUUAAGAGUGAAUCAAACACGGACCCCUGGAUAUCAUGGAGGUGGGAUCAGGUGCGUAGGAAGAGCAAGUAUCCUUUCGUCGCCGAUCAAACCAGCUGAGAGUCCUCUAUAUUGAUAAGAAGUAAUCAAUAGUCAAUAGCAGUAUGUAAAGAACAACCUAAUAAUUGGAGAACAAUUCGUACCCAUGGAAAUUCCAACUGACUGUUGGAAGACCUGAUCGUCAAAGACCACGUAGAUAUUGUCAAUGAGGAACUCCAGCAUGUUUUUGAAAACAACUUCAGCGUAGAAUCCAAAAGAUGAUGAUUGCACCAUUUUCCAAACGGCACUUUUGUUGGCUUGCAUAUAAACAUAAUCUGGUGCCUCUUGUAACAAAAAUAUGUUAAGAAAUGACAAUAUAUAUCUGAUAGGCUUUAACAAGGAAUUAUCUGGAAAGUUUGCUUUGAAAUGAAUUAAAGCAAUUUGACGGCUUGUAAGUUUU